GUGGGGAAUAUUGCACAAUGGGCGCAAGCCUGAUGCAGCAACGCCGCGUGAGGGAUGACGGCCUUCGGGUUGUAAACCUCUUUUAGUAGGGAAGAAGCGAAAGUGACGGUACCUGCAGAAAAAGCACCGGCUAACUACGUGCCAGCAGCCGCGGUAAUACGUAGGGUGCAAGCGUUGUCCGGAAUUAUUGGGCGUAAAGAGCUCGUAGGCGGCUUGUCGCGUCUGCUGUGAAAUCCCGGGGCUCAACCCCGGGCCUGCAGUGGGUACGGGCAGGCUAGAGUGCGGUAGGGGAGAUUGGAAUUCCUGGUGUAGCGGUGGAAUGCGCAGAUAUCAGGAGGAACACCGAUGGCGAAGGCAGAUCUCUGGGCCGUAACUGACGCUGAGGAGCGAAAGCGUGGGGAGCGAACAGGAUUAGAUACCCGGGUAGUCC
rnacentral:rRNA from 1 species